AUUGCUUCUCGCCUUUUUGUUAAGAACAAGUGUAGUAUCUGUUCUUAUCAGUUUAAUAGAAAAUGGCUAGAUAAUAUAUAUCCAUUAAAGAGUUUGAAUAAGUGGUUUAAAAUCUAACUUCA
ensembl:snRNA U2 U2 spliceosomal RNA